rnacentral:tRNA from 1 species
CCGCCCGUAGCACAAUGGUAGUUGCUCCGAGCUUAUACCUCGGCGGUUGGGGGUUCGAGUCCCUCCGGGCGGA